rnacentral:rRNA from 1 species
GACGAACGCUGGCGGCGUGCUUAACACAUGCAAGUCGAACGGAAAGGCCCUGCUUUUGUGGGGUGCUCGAGUGGCGAACGGGUGAGUAACACGUGAGUAACCUGCCCUUGACUUUGGGAUAACUUCAGGAAACUGGGGCUAAUACCGGAUAGGAGCUCCUGCUGCAUGGUGGGGGUCGGAAAGUUUCGGCGGUUGGGGAUGGACUCGCGGCUUAUCAGCUUGUUGGUGGGGUAGUGGCUUACCAAGGCUUUGACGGGUAGCCGGCCUGAGAGGGUGACCGGCCACAUUGGGACUGAGAUACGGCCCAGACUACUACGGGAGGCAGCAGUGGGGAAUAUUGCACAAUGGGCGGAAGCCUGAUGCAGCAACGCCGCGUGCGGGAUGACGGCCUUCGGGUUGUAAACCGCUUUCGCCUGUGACGAAGCGUGAGUGACGGUAAUGGGUAAAGAAGCACCGGCUAACUACGUG